UAGUCUCAGUUCGGAUUGUAGGCUGAAACUCGCCUACAUGAAGCUGGAGUUGCUAGUAAUCGCGAAUCAGCAUGUCGCGGUGAAUACGUUCCCGGGCCUUGUACACACCGCCCGUCACACCAUGGGAGUUUGUAACGCCCAAAGUCGGUGGCCUAACCUUUAUGGAGGGAGCCGCCUAAGGCGGGACAGAUGACUGGGGUGAAGUCGUAACAAGGUAGC
rnacentral:rRNA from 1 species